rfam:Candidatus Desulfofervidus auxilii strain HS1 genome.
GGCCGGAUCAGGGAGCCGGUGCUUCCCACGGGCUGCAAACCCGUUGAGGAUGCCUAAAAAGCAUCCUGUUCGGUUCAACUCCGAAAUCCGGCC